GUCAUGCAUGGGCCCCACAUUUCAAAAGAGGAGUGUCCAGGAAAGGCGGUCAGCCUAUUCCGAGCACGCUGACCCUGAUCGUUUUCAGUGGCUAGAAAGGCCUCCUGAGAACAGACGAAGACGCCCUGUGCUUCUCAGGGGCUCCCAGCAGGUGCGUUGAGGAGCAGACAGAGCACCUUGUUCAGCAGCACCGGCGCUGCGUCCGGGUUCCGGCAGGUGCUCCCCGUCACAGGCGGCCCAGAGGCCGGGAAUCUGGUGCGCCCUGCAUGUGCAACUGAGUUCCAUUUUUAAAGCAAUAAACAUUCCUCACAAAUUUA